UUCUCUCUUCAUUGCUGGCCACCAAUACACCCUUCUCAGAUCUUGAUACAUCUUGGUGGCUCCCGGGUGAAUGCUAUACCUCGCAUUAUGAGCUUCCCUCAUAAUGUCUGCCUUCAAACUGCUAUCAUCUGGUACACAUAAUCUCUUACCAUGUCGAAGAAUCCCCUCACCGUCAAAUCUGAACUCUGUACUGUUGCCCGACUGAACAGUCCUGGCAAUCUUC
rnacentral:lncRNA from 1 species